GGACCCCCCAAAUUCCCUCAAAUCCCCCUCAGGACCCCCCCAAAAAUCCCCAAAUCCCCCUCAGGACCCCCGAAAAACCCCAAAUCCCCCUCAGGACGCCCCAAAAAUCCCCAAAUCCCCCCAAACCCCCCUCAGGACCCCGCAAAAUCCCCAAAUCCCCCCCUAAUCCCCAAAUUUCCCCCUAAAACCCCCCCAAAUCCCCCUCAGGACCCCCCAAAAAUCCCCAAAUCCCCCCCUAAUCCCCCUAAAGACCCCCCAAAUCCCCCUCAGGACCCCCCCAAAAACCCAAAAUUCCCCCAAAAUUCCCCCAAAAUCCGCCCCCCGUUACCUGCUCCGUGCCCGGGGGGGGCUCCGGGGGCUCCUCCUGCAGCGGGGGGGAGGGGCGGGGGGGGAGGGGCGGGGGCUGAGACCCCCGGCGGGGGGGGGAGGGGGAGGGGAGGGGUGGGGGGCGGCCUCCAGGGCGGGGGGGGGAGGGGCGGCCUCGGGGUGGGGGAGGGGCUCUGGGGGCGGGCUGGGUGGGGGAGGGGCGGGCUGGGGUUGGGGGAGGGGCGGCGCUGCUUCUUCCUCCUCCUCCUCUUCCUCAUCCCUCGGGGGGUGGGGGAGGGGCUCGGGGGGGGCUUCGGGGGGUGGGGGAGGGGCGGGAGGGGCUUCGUCCACCUCCAUGAGGAGCAGCGCCCCUCCCCCACCGCCUUCAGCCGGCCCCUCCCCCCCCGCUGCUUCCUCCUCAUCUUCCUCCUCCUCCUCCUCCUCCUCGGACAGCCCCUCCCCCUCCUCUUCCUCCUCGAACUCCUCCUCCUCCUCCUCAAACUCUUCCUCCUCCUCCUCCUCCUCUUCCUCCUCCUCGAACUCCUCCUCUUCCUCCUCAAAGAAUUCCUCCUCCUCCUCCUCCUCUUCCUCCCCAAAUUCCUCCUCUUCCUCCUCCUCCUCCUCCUCCUCCUCGCUGCUGUUGAUGUUGAUCACCGCCGGCCCCUCCCCCACCCCCCCCUCCUGCCCCUCCCCCACAUCUCCCCCCUCCCCUCCCCCACUCUGCCCCUCCCCCUCUUUUUCCCCCUCCCCCUCUUUCCCCUCCCCCUCCUGGGGUGGCUCAGGCGCCGCUGGGGGGGUGGGGGGAGGUGGGGGAGGGGGCGGUGGGGGAGGGGGCGGCGGUGGGGGAGGGGCGGCCACCCCUCCCCCCAGCCCGGGGGGGAAAUUGGGGCUUUUUUUGGGCACGAUCACCACGGAAUCGUCCGAGUCGCUCUCCAGGGAAAUCUCCACGUCCGACGGCUCCUCCCGCUCGUAGUGCACGAACACGGGGCGGCGCGGCCGCGCCCCUCCCCCACCCCCCGGCGCCCCUCCCCCACCCGGACCCUCCCCCUCCCCCCCCGACACCGCAGCCGGUGGGGGGAGGGGCGGCGGUUCCGCUUUGCCGCCCCCCGGGAAUGGAGGGGGAGGGGGAGGGGGGAGGGGGGAGGGGAGGUCGGAGGGGUUGGGUGGGGGGAGGGGGCGGAAGGGAGGGGGAGGGGAGUGGGGGGAGGGGCCCGAGGGGGGAGGGGAGGGCGCGGGGGGCAGCCACGGGCGGCAGAGGGCGCUGGAGAGCAGCAGGAGCGACUCGCGGCACUGCGAGGAGACCUGGGGGAGGGGAGGGGAAUAUGGGGGGGGGGAGGGGAAUGGGGGUGGGGGAGGGGAGGGAAAUGGGGGAGGGGAAAUAUGGGGUGGGGGAGGGAGAAAUUGGGGGGAGAGGGAAAUGGGGGGAGGGGAGAGAAAUAUGGGGGGGGAGGGGAAAUAUGGGGGGGAGAUAAAUGGGGGAGGGGAAAUUGGGGGGGAGGGGAGAGAAAUUGGGGGGAAAUGGGGGAGGGGACAGAGAUUAGGGGCGGGGGAGGGGAGGGAAAUGGGGGAGGGGAGGGAGAAAUGGGGGAGGGGAGAGAGGGGGGGAGGGAAAUGGGGGGGGAGGGGAGAGAGAAAUUGGGGUGGGGGAGGGGGAAAUGGGGGAGGGGACAGAGAUUUGGGGUGGGGGAGGGGAGGGAGAUGGGGAGGGGAGGGAAAUGGGGG
rnacentral:lncRNA from 1 species